rnacentral:rRNA from 1 species
GGUUUCUUGAGAAGAGGGUAAGAAAUCUGACCUGCCCACUGAGGAAUUAUUGAAGGGCCGCAGUAUUUUGACUGUGCAAAGGUAGCAUAAUCAUUAGUCUUUUAAUUAAAGGCUUGAAUGAAUGGUUGGACGAGGUAGAUUCUGUUUUAUAUUAAUAUAAAGGUUGAAUUUAAAUUUUAGGUUAAAAUGCUUAAAUUGUAUUAAGGGACGAGAAGACCCUAUAGAGUUUAAUAUAUGAAGUUAUGAUAAAGUUAAUAGAAGAUAUAUUUAUUAAUAAUUGUGUAUAUUUGGUUGGGGUGAUUAGAAGAUAAAAAUAACUCUUUCUUAUAAUAAAUAUUAUAAAUAGAAAUUAGAUCCAUGGAUUAUGAUUUGAAGAUUAAAUUACCUUAGGGAUAACAGCAUAAUUUUUUUUGAGAGUUCAUAUUGAGAAAAAAGAUUAUGACCUCGAUGUUGGAUUAAGAUAAAUUUUGGGUGUAGAUGUUUUGAAAUUAGGUCUGUUCGACCUUUAAUAUCUUACA